rnacentral:lncRNA from 1 species
ACAGUAUGCCAUUUGGAGGCAGAAAAACCACAAGUGAGAUGUUCUAGGUUAAAUCGGCAGAUUUAAUGACUCUUUGUAAAAUGCUUGGGGGGGGAAUAUAGAAUAUUUCUCACACACUUAAGUAUGCAGGCAUAAUACAAGCAGAGUAAGCUCUAACUCUUCUGAGAGAAGAAUUGUUAAAGAAAGAGAGAGGGAUGCAGAGUUCAAACACCUCUGUCCAUAAAUCUACUGAUUUCUAUUUUUCUGGCACCCAAUCAAGGAGUGUACAGGCUGUGUUGUGUUCAGGCAUGGAGUCCCCUCUCUUGUUAAGGCAGAGGGUGUGGACACCUUGAUACAUAGUCCAGCUGUAGACUUCCCAGUGCCCCCCUCUGGCCUGGCUUUUCAUGAAGGUUUGCUGAAGUCUAACCAUAGGGCAUGAGAAAAGGAUUGAUGGAUUUGUAUUCCCGAAGACUUUCACGAGAAUUGAUUGAUGGAUUGUUCCUGAGUACUGUUAACCUUCCCUUUGUAUGAGGCAUUCAUUUUGCCAUCCAGGUUCAACCUGUCUGAAAAGGACACCAUUGCAGCAGAGCACAGGAACCCUGCUCACCCAGAGGUGGGAGGCCCAUGGCGUCAUCUGGAUGACGUUUCCUGUUUAUAUCCUGUCCUGAGUCUUUGUACCAGUUGGAAUUCAGUUCCUGCCAACAGGAAAGCAGAGAUAAUUCAUGCAGGAAGCACUAACGGUGAGGAUGAAGCAAGAAGGGCAUUGCCUGGGCCUCUUGGUGGGCCAGGAUGUGAAUAACUUUU